rnacentral:tRNA from 1 species
GGAAGGUCGAGCAGAGACUCCGCGCGAACGACGGAGGACCCGAGUUCGAUUCUCGGCGGCUCCACCA